GUGCCAGCCGCCGCGGUAAUACAUAGGGGGCAAGCGUUAUCCGGAAUUAUUGGGCGUAAAGGGUGCGUAGGUGGCCAUUUAAGUCUUUGGUGUAAGUGCAGUGCUCAACGCUGUGAUGCUAAAGAGACUGGGUGGCUUGAGUGUGGUAGAGGCAAGUGGAAUUCCAUGUGUAGCGGUAAAAUGCGUAAAUAUAUGGAGGAACACCAGUGGCGAAGGCGGCUUGCUGGGCCAUAACUGACACUGAGGCACGAAAGCGUGGGGAGCAAACAGGAUUAGAUACCCUGGUAGUCCACGCCGUAAACGAUGAGUACUAAGUGUUGGAGAAAUUCAGUGCUGUAGUUAACGCAAUAAGUACUCCGCCUGAGUAGUACGUACGCAAGUAUGAAACUCAAAGGAAUUGACGGGACCCCGCACAAGCGGUGGAUCAUGUUGUUUAAUUCGAUGAUACGCGAAGAACCUUACCAGGUCUUGACAUCCCUUGCAAAGCUCUAGAGAUAGAGUGGAGGUUAUCAAGGAGACAGGUGGUGCAUGGUUGUCGUCAGCUCGUGUCGUGAGAUGUUGGGUUAAGU
rnacentral:rRNA from 1 species